rnacentral:rRNA from 1 species
AGUGAACGCUGGCGGCAGGCCUAACACAUGCAAGUCGAACGGCAGCACAGUAAGAGCUUGCUCCUACGGGUGGCGAGUGGCGGACGGGUGAGGAAUACAUCGGAAUCUACUUUUUCGUGGGGGAUAACGUAGGGAAACUUACGCUAAUACCGCAUACGACCUACGGGUGAAAGCAGGGGAUCUUCGGACCUUGCGUGAUUGAAUGAGCCGAUGUCGGAUUAGCUAGUUGGCGGGGUAAAGGCCCACCAAGGCGACGAUCCGUAGCUGGUCUGAGAGGAUGAUGAGCGACACUGGAACUGAGACACGGUCCAGACUCCUACGGGAGGCAGCAGUGGGGAAUAUUGGACAAUGGGCGCAAGCCUGAUCCAGCCAUACCGCGUGGGUGAAGAAGGCCUUCGGGUUGUAAAGCCCUUUUGUUGGGAAAGAAAAGCAGCAGGUUAAUACCCCGCUGUUCUGACGGUACCCAAAGAAUAAGCACCGGCUAACUUCGUG